rnacentral:misc_RNA from 1 species
ACCCGGAACCAGUCGCGGCCCCUGAGGUGUCCGACGAAAAAACCUCACCCUUUGGCCUGCGUAUGAGCAAGGACGAGAACGACGGCAGCGGGCGGGGCAGUGGUCCGGGUACCACUAAAGUGAAGCCGAAGACCAAGCGGCCGAACCUCUAUCGCGUCCUGAUCCUGAACGACGACUACACCCCGAUGGAAUUCGUGGUUCAUGUUCUAGAGAAGUUCUUCAACAAGGACG